AACGCAGUCGUGUAAAAGUCGUUAUCAAUUUGAACGCGAACGUGAAAACAAACCAUAUUCAAACGUUUCUAUUUUGUAUACGUAAAUAAUAAACCCUGGCUAUUAUUGCCGAUGAAGUUAUAUUCUGUUGGUGAAUUUUGGUUGGAUACCUACUACAAUCUCACACUCGUACAAUAAAAAGCGUAUAAUUAAAUCGUAAAAAAUUAUGUGACACCA